AGGACGAACGCUGGCGGCGCGCUUAACACAUGCAAGUCGAGCGAGAACCAGUCCUUCGGGACUGGGGACAGCGGCGAACGGGUGAGUAACACGUGGGUAAUCUGCCCUCGAUUCUGGGAUAGCCCGGGGAAACCCGGAUUAAUACCGGAUAGCCUCUCGAGCUUACGAGCUCGUGAGAAAAGGUAGCUUCGGCCUCCGAUCGAGGAUGAGCCCGCGGCGGAUUAGCUUGUUGGUGGGGGUAAUGGCCUACCAAGGCGACGAUCCGUAGCUGGUCUGAGAGGACGAUCAGCCACACUGGGACUGAGACACGGCCCAGACUCCUACGGGAGGCAGCAGUGGGGAAUCUUGCGCAAUGGGCGAAAGGCCUGACGCAGCGACGCCGCGGUGGGGGAAGAAGGCCUUCGGGUUGUAAACCGUCUUUCAGCAGGACGAAGCCACGUGGUUAAUAGCCCAGAGGUGACGUACCGUGCAGAAGGAGGCCCCGGACUAACGUACGUCGACCAGCACGGCCCGCGGUAAUCCGUGA
rnacentral:rRNA from 1 species